AGGGAGAGCUGGAAAGCAAAAGCCCGUCGCAUGUGUCCUCCUUCAAAGCUCAGAGAUACAAAGCGCAUUUCCCCGAACUCCUCAGCGCACAUUUACUCACUCCUACCCACUUCCAGUGCCAACAGUGCUGCUGCUGUAAUACAAACGCACGGACCGACACUGGGCAUUUUCAAGUGAGGUUUUAAAGUUCAAUCUCAGUAUCUCCCUACUUUCUCCCUUGAUCAGUAGGAGUCAACAACAGUCCUGGAGGACCGGCCUUUUUCUAUUAGCCAUCCCCUGACAUUUUCACCCAGACGGGAGUGUGCAGAAUUCGGAGCCGCUCCGGCGUCUCCCUUA